rnacentral:lncRNA from 13 species
CGGGGGGCCGCGGGGGGCUCGGGGGCUCUGGCCAACAAGGGCUCUGCUCCCCCAGGCCGGGAAGUUCGGCAUCGUCCCCACCCUCAUCAACACGGUGGCCGCGUUCACCUCCAUCGGUGUGGGCACGGUGCUGUGCGACAUCAUCCUGCUCAACUUCCUCAAGGGCGCCGAGCACUACAAGGCCCGCAAGUUCGAGGAGGUGCCAGAGGCCGGUGCGCCCGCCACCCCCGCCAGCCCCACGGCGUGUCCCCCCGGGGCGCUGGGGGCCUGCACCCGGGACAAGCAAUCCACCGACUCGGGCACCUUCUCCCUCGGCCUCUAGCCCCGGGGGCCGCGGGGCAGCCCACGGCCGGCUGAGGGGCUCCUACUGCUCGCCCCUCUCCAGCGCUCACCCUGUGAGCCCCAUCCGCAUCCCAGUGUCCCCGGUGCCCACCCCGGGUGUCGCAGUACAUCCCAGUGUCCCCUGUGCCCACACGGAGCGCCCCUUGCUCCGAGGGUGCCGCAUUCCCCCCUCCCCCCCCCCAAUAAACCCGUGGCUCGCAGCACCCACCCGUGUCCAGCCUUGGUGGGCGCGGGGCGGUUUUGGGGGCCGACGGGCAGGGUUGGGGUGCGGGAGCAGAGGGGAGAGGGGUCGGGGUGCUGUCCCUGGGAUGGGGCACACCGCGGGGGGGGCUGCCAGCAGGAGCGCAGCCCGUGGAAGGGGGCACAGAGGGACAGGAGCUGAGCCCGAGGGGGGUCACUUCCUCGGUCGGAUGUGAGUAACUCUGGUGGAUUCGGAGGAAGCUGCCGGAUCCCUCCUCGUGCAGGGCCAAGCGCUGCCCUUCCUGCUCCGGGGAGGGGGGGGUCUGGCUCCUCAUCGCACCCCAAUCCCCCUGCAGGGCCGGUGGGGACGCCCUGAGCCUGGCUUGGUCCCGGUGGAGCCGCCGGUGCCAAGUCCCGGCGUUCGUUCCUGGGAGCGAGGGUCCCGGAGCCCCUCGCUGCUGCCCAGGGCAGCCCCCGCCCCGCAGGGAGAGCGGCUCCUGCCCUCCCCCCGCUGCAGAUAGCGGGGCUCGUUAUCAGCCGCACGGAUUCCUUAUCAGCUCAGCCCUGGCCACCCACCCACCACCCGUGGCCACCACGAACCCGGCCUGGGGGGCUCCUUCCCCGGCGCCGGGACUAACAGGACCCCCUGGGUGGCACCGGAGGCGAGCGGAGCCAUCUCAGCUUCCAGGGCAGCGAGGGGGUGAGCGGGACACUCAACCUCCAGUUUUUGGGAAGGGAGGAGACUGGGAAAGGACUCGUGUGGCGGCUGGAAAGGGAUACUUGUGCCGUGUUCCAGUAGCACACAGAUUGCCGGGAUUGUUAUUAAUAGUCAUUAAUAGAGCUGCUCGUUAGCGGUCCUGCUCAUUAACGGGGCUCCGGCCGGGGCGGCAGCAGCCCGGGGAGCCUCGCUGAGACCCCGGGGGCUCAUUAGCGGCGCUGGGGCUUCCCCGCUAAUGCUGUUAAUUGGCGGAAAGGCUCGAGCCGUGUCUGCACUGGGGAGGGGGGGGUUCCGGCCCUUCUUCGUUCCGAUUUGGGAUUUCACCGGAACCGGGCGCCCUCGCAGUUCUGCCACCAGUUUGAGCAGGUUUGGGGUUUAAAGCCUCCGUCCCCGCAAGCCGGCUGUCCUGGCGCUGGGAUACGGGAUCGUUCCUUAUCUCCAGCCUGAUUAAGCCUGGUUUGUUGUCCCGGCUGACGCUGCAGCUCUGGGUGUCUGGUUCGGCGCUGCUGUGCGCGCACUUCCGGGGGCCCCUAACCUGCACCGCAUUCCCCCCUACACCACUCUGUCUCAUUUUGGAGACCCCUGUGAGCUCCCCCCUCUUUCAGCCACUGAAUUGCCCCCACAAACCCCUCCUUUACACCCUUUUGCUGGGAGAAGGGCCCCACUGAGCCGGAGGGGGGUCCCGGGGGGCUCUGUGACCCCCCUGCCUCCGUCCGUGCGCUCGGGUGUUAAACCUGCCCCUUCCCACAGCCCGUCCCAUGUUUAAUCCCCGCCUUCAGCCCCAGCCCAGGCCCCAGCCCAGACCCCGCAGCGUGUCCCGAGGGACCUGGGGCUCUUCAGACCUCACUCUGCAAAGUCCCGCUCGGCUUCUUCGGUUCCGUCGCCCAGAGCUGGAAUUGUGAGAGUUCAGUCCCAGCGGGACAAUCCCAGACCACGGCCCCACCACCGCGGGGGGCUUCCCUCCCGCGUCCCCCCAGUAUUUAUUUGUGGGGUGGAGGGAAGUUUGUUCUCUCUCGGCUCAGUGCUGCGGCGUCCGGCUCCGUGACCGACCCGCGGAGCUGGGAUGCACCGAGGGCUCCGGUGGCGGCUGCCCUGAAAUGGCCUUUUUCCGGCGUGGGGGGUCCCAAAGCCCCCCUCCCCGCCCCGGAUUUUUGGUAGAUGUAUAAAUCUCCUCGCCAUGCUGUGCUCAAAGCGGGGCCCCGGCGCUGGGGGACCCCGCGGAGCCAGCACUGCGUGCACAGCGCCCCAAAGCUGGGAGCAAAACGGGGAGCCCCGAGUGCCAAACGCAAGGUGCCAAAUGCACCCCCGCCCCGUGCGACUCCCCCCAGCGCGACACCACCCCCCCAAAUGUCACACCAGCCCCCCAAAUGUGACACCACUCCCCAAAUGCGACACCACCCCCCAGCGCGACCCCCCGCCGCCAAGGGCCCCGCGUGAGGCUGCCCGUGCGAAACGCAGCCCCGGUGUGUGACACGGAAUGCGGCGCCCCGAGGUGAAACCCCAAAUGCCGGCAGACCCCCGAAGCCCCCCUCGUCUCUGAGCCCCCGCACCGGACGCCGUCGUGGUGGGCGAGCGAACCCCGCGGGCGUGGCGGGGCCGGGGUUAUCUCGGGGGUCGGCGCGUUGACACGCGGGUGAGAGCUCGGUAAAGCCCCCCGGGAAGGAGCCAGAUGGAGGUGGGGGGAGCUGUGAAGUUUCCCACGGGGGCUCCCGCCCGGCCCUGCCUCCCGCCCUGCGCUGUCCGUCCCCUCCGGGAGGAGGGCGGGGAGGAGGAGGAAGGGGAGGUAACGCGGUGGGAUUCGCCUGCGGCUCAGGGGCCGGAGGAGCGGGUGAGCCCGGGAUGAGCUGAGCC